AACAACAACAAAAAGCCACCAUUUUGCUGCUUUACUCAUAUUUUCACCAGGAGGCAAGCAGGUGUGCUGAAUAUUUCCUGGCCUCUCCCCAGUCACGGUAGAUACCUCCACCACCCUUGCACAAAGUUGACUGUCAUUGACUCCACCCUGAGCCAGAUCUCAAAAUACCGCUGUGCCAGUCAGCGGAAAACCAGAGGAGUGUCCAUGAGCCCUGAAUCACUGAGAGACAAGAGGACAGAGUUCCAGAUGAGACACAUACAGU